CCCAGCGGUAGUCAGCUGACAGGCCGCCCGUGCCUGAGCCAGUGUUACUCUGCUGGGAGAGAAAGGCUCUGCCGUUUGGUGCUGGUGCAGGUCUGGCUGUUUUAGUGAGUCCUGCGGGUCAGCACUGGCAGACCGGGCCCUCUGAGAGUGGACUGAGCUCAUCACGUGACCCAGCCCUAGUCUGAGGGCCCACACU